UUUAUUGUUUUGUUAACACCACCGAUUUUCAAAUAUUAGAUAUGUAGAAUUAAGCUGAUUCACGUAUGGUUGUGUAAGAAAUUAUAUAUUGCUCUUUUUCAUAACCAAACA
rnacentral:sRNA from 1 species